ACCAAGUUGGAAUUCAAGCGUCACACAUCCUGGAAGGUCCCAGUUCCUGUAACUUCUUUAAGUGUCGAAGGAAAACGAAAGACUGAUUUAACGCGGGGCCCCCAGGGUCUGCAUGACUCAUCUAGUGGAGUCCUCUAUCCGGGCCCUCAGGUUAGGAAAGUUUUUUGUUCUUUUCCAGGGCCAGUUUUGCCAUGAAAUAAUUACUUAGUCAGGCUUUUGGAAACAAGAUGGUCAUCUCUCUUGGCGGCUUGACUCCUUUCAUUACGGGGCCGCUUUCAGCGCACGGCAUCCAGGAAUACUUUUAUGGCCAAUGUGUUGACGCUGAUAUCAGACUGAUAUCAACAAAUACAUGCGGACUAUUGACACAGAGCCUGACAUCCGCUUGGCGGCGGCCCAGCUCGCCGGCCUUAAUUGGCCCGGAGACCUCUUGUUGGUGUGAUCUAUCGAUCAGACCGGCUGCAGAUCCCGCUAAGUCACAGGGAGAGGACAGCCAUAGUCCCAUACACACACCGGGGGGGGAAAAAAGGGAAAACGCCCGCCAAAUCCUGCCGCCGUGAUGUCUUCAGCCCGACCGUUCUCCCGGCAGCUGCAGAAAUGACGUGGAGGGUGUUCACCCCAAGGUGCACCGCAGGGGGGGGAGGUCUGGAUCCUUGGCGCAAAGUUGAUUCACAUCCAGUGAUUGUCUUUUAUGGUUACCACAGGGAGGAAUGGCGGGCCAAAAAAUGAGUUUUCUGAAUGCUCUGACCCCUGAGGAUCUAUAGACAUUGUCGGCUUUAACAAUCCCGCCAGACGCAGCCGGAUGAAAAAGUCCUCCACGCUCGCAAAAUCCACUUUUUGUGUGAUACCUAUGCUGCAAAUCUUGGGGGGUUGG